rnacentral:lncRNA from 1 species
AUAACAUUUGUUACACAGAGUCCUAUACGCAGAGACUAGAGGCCGGACAUAGCAAGCUCAGCAAAGUGGGGAGGACGCCGAUGGCUUUGUUGUUUCAGUCGUCGAUCCCGAUGCGGUUUAGCGCAAGAUCGCCUCAGUGUUGUACAAGAACCGCAUAUAUGGCCUAGGGUCAUUCUUCGCCAGUAGCCUCUGUACCUCCACAUUAAGUCCAUCGUCCGCCUCUACCACCAGUCGAGUCAUC